CGUGACAUCAUAUGCAUGACAAAAUUGAUAUUUGUUAUUAUCAAUGCAGUGCAAUUUAGGCCAUUUUCCAAAGAGUGCGGUGUCCUUUUUUUUUUUUUUUUUACCCCAGUUUCAACUCUUGCGCAUUUGGAUGGAGGAAUCCAAACAUGUAGAUGGUGGUACGUUACGGUAGGCCUACUGAGGAGGGAUUGCACCAUGAAGUAUGUGUGCUGUACAUUUACUUAAGAAAACAUGCGAAGUCAAUUGGCACAUCAUGCUGUUGUUAAUCAGACUGAACAGAGAGGGUCCAAGCAGCCACGUUUGGUUUAUGUUCUCCCUUAACCUCCGAAUUCUUUAAAAAUCCACCAGGUUUGGGGAUUCUGCAGGCCUUAGGAAGCUACAGCCUGCUGAACUAUUAGGUUACACACCUAUGUUUCUGACACACCUACAUGUAUGUUCCCACACACCCAUGGAUGUUCUGACACACCUAUGUUCCAACACCCCUAUGUUCCGACUGCUCAUAUUCCUAUCCCUAACCCUAGCAUAGAGCAGUCGCCAACUAUUACACUGAAAUAUACGUGUGGAUUGAUGGCCCAUGUAGUAAAGCAUGUGCCCUUGAUAUGUUACAGUUUUUGGAUUUUCUUCAGGAUUGAAGAAGGUAACUAGCACGAGUUCUUUAUAUUUGAUGUGGUUUUGAGUGUAUGUGGUAACUAUAUGAAGUGUUUCUCUGUAGUUCUCUCACCCAGAAGUUGAUAUCAGAUAUUGGACCAUUCUAACCUAGUCUUUACUGGAUUAGCCAGGAUUUGAACCCAUCAAAAAUAAAACAUUAGGGGCCAUUCAAAAUAGUCAAUGUUAAUUUUUUUAAAGUCUUUUCAGUUUUCAAUUUAAGUAAUAGAAAAAAAUAAUACAAGAAGAAGGGGAACAAGUUAAAAUACCCAGCGGCCUCUUCAAGAUCGUCUGUCAUUGGACACAGUAAAAGCUAAUCCUAACAAAGCCCAAAUGACCCUUUUUAAAUUUUUGUAAUAUAGUGUCUUAGAAAACAUUGUACAAAGUUUUGUGUGCUUGGCAAUUUCCGUCUGUUUCAACUGCAAAGUUGCAUGCUGGAAGCCUGGAAAAGCCAUUGACCUUAAAUAUCUACUUCAAUUUGAAGCAUAAAUUACUUUGUUCUUCAGUGUAUUUAUAUAUUAAAGAGUCAUUCAGCAUUUAAAAAAAAAACAACGAAAUUUGGGGUGGAUGGGUGAGUCAAAACAAUUUGACCCACUAGUAUACCGGUAUUUUACAUCGCUUAAUACAUGCUUUAUUUAGAAUCAUUACCUUGUCAGUACAUUGGACGUGGUAUUUAGGGUCUCAUCCUAAUUUCCGUUUUCGAAGGCCAAUUUUCCUAUAAUUUGACAGGAAUGUUGUUUGGCUGGUAUUCUACAAUAUGACAUCACUGGGUUGAGCUGCAGUGACUACAAUAAGACACUUUACUCUAUAUUGCCCAUUUGCAGUCAAAAACAGGAUUUUGUUUUGGUACCAUAUUUAGUUGGGGAGGAAUAUAGGGUUCCCAUGCACCCCCUGGAUAUAUUUUUUUUAACCUACUUUUUUGUAAUCCUCAAUGUGUCUAGUGAACGAAUUUUGAUGUUCCCAAGAUCAAAUAUUGUCCCAUGGGGUUCAUUUGGCGGCCAUCUUGGCGGCCAUCUUGGAUUUUGACGAAAAUCAGUUAUUUGACAUAACUUUUGAACCAGGCAUCAUAGAAAGACAAAUUAACAUGUUUUACUGGGUAAUUUGGUUGUGAGGAAUCGAUUGGAAGUGUUAUUUUUAUAAUGUGGCGGCCAUCUUGGAGGCCAUCUUGGAUUUCAACGAAAAUCAGUUAAUUGACUUAACUUUUUAACUAGGCAUCAUAAUAAGACAAAUGAACACGUUUUCCCGGGUAAUUUGGGCGAGAGGAAUCGAUUGAAAUCAUUAUUUGCAUGAUUUGGCGGCCAUCUUGGCUGCCAUCUUGGAUUUCGAAGAAAAUUGGUUAUUUGACUUAACUUUUGUACUAGGGAUCAUAGGAAGACAAAUUAAGCUGUAGGCUUAAUCUUGUAAGUUGUAGUAUUAGCAGGAAAUGGUGAUAGUGAACGAACAAUCAUAGCAUAAAUAUAGUGCGGUAUAAUCAUGCCAGUAUGCAUGGUGAUGCGGCCCUAUCCAUCCCCUUCACUCAUUGACUUGCUGCAGAAAACUGUUGAGGAAGCGGAGGAUCAAUAGUGGAAGAGCAUCAAGCUCUUUCUAUAGUGUGACAGUAAAGACCCACUCUUGAGUGGCAGUACCACGGCGAGUUCAGGUCAAGGAUCAGGGUGCCUGAAAUGCACCUGCCCGCUCCUUUCGUCUGGCUCCCUUGUCAGUCAGGAAAUCAUUUUUAGCAUUUUCAGCCCAUCUCACACCUUCCUGCAUUCUCUGUCGUCUGCCGUGCAUUCCCAGCUGUUGGAACCUAUUCCAGAUGACGUCCGGUCUCUCUUGCAGAUUUCCUUAUAGCGGAGAUAGGGUCUCCAUAAAGGAGAUCCUUUAGGAGCAGACCUGAGUCCAUCCUCUUGACAUGGCCGAUGCCAUCUAAGACGUCUAAUGCUGAGGAGAGCAAACGUGCUCGGGAUACCAGCACGCCCUACGACCUCCGUGUUGGUCACUCGAUCCUGCCAGCUUAUACAGAGGGUGCGUCCUAUCGGAGGUGGAAGCUGUUUUAGUGAUCUCUUCUCCUGACCGGCAUAGGUUGUCGAGGCUUCACAACCAUGGAGGAGUGAACUGAGGACACCGGCCCGGUACACUUGAAUCUUGGUGUGCCCAGUCAUCGUGAUGGUUGUUCCAGACUCUCUUGCUCAGUCUAGUUUAAUAUGACAGCUGCGGCCUUGGCUAUUCUGCUGUUAAGCUCUGUGUCAAGAGACAGUGUGCUGGAGAUGGCUGAAGCGAUGUAGGUAUCCACCACCUCAAGAGCAGGUGCGUUGAUGGUGAUGGAAGGAGGGCGGUCUACAGUGUAUAUGUUCUGAGACAUGACAUUGGUCUUUUUCAGGCUGAUGGUCGGCCCAAACUGAUUGCGGGCAUGGGACAGGCAACCGAUGAGCCACUGGAGCUGGGCUUCAUUGUGGGAGCCAACGCUGUGUCAUCAGCAAACAGCAGUUCAUGGAUGAGGACCUCGCGAAUGUUGGAGCGGAGGCAAGAAGUGUUAAAUCAGCUUGUGUAUGCAUAUAUAGACACCCUUGGUGUAGUCUCCAAAAGCGUACUGUAGGAGCAUGGAGUAGAACAUACCGAAGAGAGUGGGAGCCAACAUGCAGCCCUGUUUUACUCCAAUUCUCACUGGGAAGGCAUCUGAUGUUGCACAUUUGAAGUACACUGUGCUGUGCAUGCCCUAGUGGAAGGAUGUUACCAUGCCCAGCAGCCUGGGAGGGGCGGGACAGCUGAUCUUCUGCAGCAGUUUAAAGAGCCUACUUCUGCUGACCAGGUCGAAAAUCUUUGUCAGGUCUAUAUGAAGUCAGUAUAGAGUGGCAUUUUCUGCUCCUGACGCUUUUCCUGCAGCUGGCAAAGUGAGAAGAUCAUAUCCACAGGGGAUCUGCCUUCGCUGAAGCCACACUGUGACUCGGAAUAGACCUUACCGACAAAGCUGAGCAGAGAGAUUCCGCGAUAGGUAUUACAAUCGCACCUGUUGCCCUUGUUUUUCUACAAGGUGACGAUAUUUGCAUCACGUACAUGUAUGUCGGAACGUUACCCAUUUCCCAGCAGGGGCUGAGGAGUUUAUGAAGUCGUCACAGCAACGCUGGUUCCCCGCUCUUUAGGACUUCAGGUGGGAUACCUGAAUAGUGGGAUACCUGGGUUGGCUUCCAGGGCGGCAUCUCUCACCACAUUCUGUGUUGCAUACAGCUCAAGGUAGUGUUCCACCCAUGUUCCAGCUGUUUCCUUUGAUCGGUGAUAACUUCUUCCGUCUUGGACUUCAGCAUUGCCAUUUUUUAGAUAUUCGGUCCUAUUGCCUUCUUGAUGAUGCCUUAAUACAGCCUUCUUGCAUCACUGGUCUCUUGCGGCCCUGAGAGCAUCUUUUGUGCUGGGACUGGGAUCCUUCUUGUGGGCAAGGAAAGCCUUCUGUUGGCAAGGAUUAGGCUCGUAAGCGUUCCUACGUUCUCCUUUCCCGUAGGAAGAAGCGGCGAGGUCGUGAAUCAUCACGCAGGUGGAACCACUUGAAUUCCACAUCACACUGCCACCACCGCCUGUAAGUUCUGCCAGAGCCUCUCCAAGACUGUCAACAAACUGCUUAUUCCUCUCUGGGUUGUUGAUACAGCAGGUGGUGAUUCACAGUGACACUAAUCUUGGUGAGGUGGGGCUUUUUUUGGUACGAGCUUCACUUUACUGGUAACUGGCUACGAGGGAAUGGUUUGUAUUACCAUUAACCACCUUAGGGGUUUACCCCCUUAGCCUUUACCAUUCCCAGGGCUAUCCGCAGGCAGUGGCUGAAAAUUGAGGUAGACUGUCAACCAAGACUUUAACGAGCUCGACCAACCUGGGUUUGUGAUCAGUUUUCCUUGUCCUAGGCAGAAUGCCUACCCUGGCUUAAGAGUUCUACCAGCUAGGGUUUGAUAAAAUCCCUAAAAAGUAAAAGGUAAAGAGGACGAGCCCGUGUUCCAGUGAACACAGGUUCGUUCCUUUUAUAACCUUAACUUUGUAGGGUUUGUGAUCGGAGUUUCCUAGGCAUGCUAGGUGGACUUACAACCAAUUCUAACGAGCUCCACCGACCCGGAGCAACCUUGUUAUAGUCCGAGGGACUCUCCGACACCCUCUGCCAUUCAGCACAAAUGGGGUUGGCACGAGAAGUCAGACAGUAGUAUUUGGUUAAGAGAGGCUAAUGGUGAGACACUGUGCUAAACAAUGGGAUACUUCAAUGGGGAAGGAGCAGCUCAAUCCGCCAUUCCACUCCAGCACAUCCUUACCUUUUUACCCCUGGAAUAUUAGAGUUUGGAAUACAUGUAGUCUAUUGUUUUGCAAGAGUCCGAGUGCAAAUUAUAAGUUUUAAGGUAUUUAACUUGUUUCUAUCAUUAAAUAAUUACGUUAUAUCGAUUCGCCAUGCCCAAAUUACCCCUAAGACGUACGUGCUCACUCAUCUUAACGGUAUAAUGCCUGGUUCAAAAGUUAUGUCAAAUAACCGAUUUUCGUCAAAAUCCAAGAGGGCCGCCAAAUGCCCAUGGGACAAUAUUUGAUCUUGGGAACAUCAAAAUUCGUUCACGAGACACCUUGAGGAUUACAAAAAAGUAGGUUAAAAAAAUAUAUCCAGGGGGUGCAUGGGAACCCUAUCUUCCUAAUAGACUAAUUGAACCCCAAUAAAAGUUAGGAAAAUGCACCUGAUUUCAUGCUGAUCAGCUAAUGUGCACUGGAGCUAUUACAAUAAGUUUCAUGAGGGAACAUUAUGGUCCCCCCCCCCCACUUGAUAGGUUUCAUUUAGUUCAGUGCAAUCACUAAAAGUUCAAACAAGGGAUCACCCUUGCUAAAUUUAUAUCAUGUACAGAAAAACCACUUGAUUUGUGUGGUUGCUUCAGACAGCUUUGUUGGAUGAUCAAACCAAAGACAAAAUGUUUGCUAUGCCAAACACAGUGGGGUCCACAAACAAUUGAUCGGAAUAGCGAUCAUCUGUUAUAGUGAAGCUUGGCCACCAAUGCUUACUAUAUUUAAAUAUGGUAGCCAAAGGGAUGUCUUAAUAGCUAAGAGUUUGAUGUUGCAGUGUUCAGUGCUGUGAAUCUUAUGUACAUGUACAGGAAAAAGCAAUACCAAUGUUACAAGAAAACUCAAGUCCAACAGAAAUUUUACUGAAAUUGAACAACUAUGAAUAAUGUCACACAAACUAAUUGGUAAUUUUAUAAUGCAGAAACAGUACAGGGACACUUAUGGGUAUGUUGAAAGUAGAAUCAUUUUUAAAAUUUUGAUUUAUGACAGUCAUAAAACGAUAUUUCUGUCGCAGUACAUGUAUAUUUAAACUGUUCAUCAAAAUAGGCUUAAAUGCAGACAUGUUACAAAUAGUCCGAUGUUGACACAACUGCCAUAUUAUGUGACAGGAAAUACAUGCACUGCAAUCACACAGGUCUCGCCCCACUACAGCAUGAAGCCUGUUCCAUGGUGUGUUGUAGCAAAAAGGCGCUGUUCCAUUUGGUCAUUAUGACAACAUACAAAGUACAUGUGUACUUACUUCUGUGAUAAAUUACUAUAAUAGUUUUUAAAACAUAUUUUAUUUACUACAAAUUACCUUGGAGAUUACUUGGAGAUCUGUAGUCUAGCCUCUAUUAUUAGAUAAUGUUGAACAAUUGUUGACUGCUGUGAUGUGAGAUAUGGCGGUUUUAAUACCCAAGGGGUGCACAACACACAAAGUGACGCCGAGGAUGCUAUGCGCCCUAAGGGGGUUAAAAACAACAUAUGCCACAUCCAGCAGUCAACAAUUGUUUUGUUAUAUCUUGCCAAUAAGUUACAAAGAUACAGAUUUAAAAUCUCUAAUCAAAAAAUAAAUGAAAUCACUGCAGAGUAAGUAGUUUUGAUUACUGUGAGCUGUCCUGCCAGACAUGAGAUUGGAACGGUGGAGUUCUGAGGUGCGUGGGUCCUACACUAGUCUUGGCCCAAGACGCUAGUGAUCAACACCGGAUCGUGCAUAGUGCGCCCUCUUAAUGACACAAUAAUAAGACCAUCGCGUCAUGUACUAAUAUCUUUGGAAUUUCAUAGUAGCGGUUUAACUUUUCCCUAAGCUUUUCUAGGGAAUCAAUCAGCGAUCGCGUAAUGGUUUAUGUUCAGUCGCGCGGUUGUAAAUAUACGUGCUAUGUGCGGAAAUUCAACUGUGAAGUGUGGUGAUCAAGCUUCGCUAAUGCAACUCGGUGAUACCCACGCGCGACUACCGGUAUAAAUAGGAAGCUGCCAUUUUGUUUGACGAUAUUAAUAUUUACAUCAACAGUCUAAUUUACAUAUAACGGCCACGCCUCCAUUCCUGCAAAAUUCCUGCAAAAUUCCCAAGACGUUAGUGAGAGAAAGUAAAAAACAGUUGUGCGUGAGCAACAUUAACUAAAAUCACUAUCGAUCACUUGGCCCAAGACUAGCCCUACACAUGCACCCUUCAUGUACGCGAAUAUAUGCAACAUGAUUAUAUGCAACUCAGUUCAUAUGAAUAACCAGUCAUUUUAGACUGGACACGUGGCAGUUUUAGACCAAUGAAAUGACAAUAUCCAAAACAAGAUGUAACAAAAAUUAUAGCAGUUUGCAAUUGGCAGAGACCGUGUAAACAUCUGAUAUAAAUGCAAUUUGUCCUGGGCCGAUUUCACAAAACUCAUCUCAGGACUUAAGACGAGUCCCUGCUGAAAGAUCGAUCCUAGCUAAGAUACGUUCUAGGACCGAUUUCACUAAACGCAUCUUGAGCAAGAUGUGACGGAAAUACAGGUUAAGGGAAUUGUGAUUGAACAAAGACCCAAUUGCCAAUUUUACGGCUGUUUCAUGUUUGUUUUUACUGCUCGAGGAAAUGGUUGAUAAGAAAUGCACAAAAUCAAUUUUCCUGCACAUUCAUAGAACAUGAAGUUUCACCUGGAAAAAAAAUUAUUGUGUGCUUAUAUAGCAUUACAUAGUCACAGUUAACCACUGAAUUAAUACCCUUAAUUAUGAUUGCCCAAAUCGCUCCCCGGUUUCAUCCCUCUAUAUCGAGAACCGGUAAUGUUGUUAUUUAGGUCUAGGGUUAUAAUUAAGUUAGAAAUAAAUCAUUAUUAAAACUACCCGCAUGUCAAAACUCCUUUCAUAACUGUUUCUACAGUGGUUUUCCUCCUCUUGUGUUGAAAUUAGCUUUGAAACUGUCGCGAAAAUACAUCCUUAGGCCGAAACUCGC
rnacentral:lncRNA from 1 species